GAGCAUAUGUAUGAAAUUAUGACCACACAUGUGAUAAUUACACAAUUAUUACACAGGUAUUACAUUAUAUAGGACCUAUAUUAUUAUGAGCAUAUAAAUGUAUCAUUCAGCCCUUUUGCAAGAUGACUGACUAUCCAUGAGUGUGUCUGAGAUUUUAUGAUCUCCCCCAGUCUCAGCAAUUGAAUACAUGUCGUUCCUGAUCUUUUUUGAUGGAUCAGAGUGCUGCUCCUACCACUGUUGAGGUCCCAACGUGUCUCAGGCUUGUUGACAUUUCAGCUGCCGUGCAACUCGCCAGCUUCUGCUGCCUUCGAGUGUUGCUGUCACUGCUGAGGAAGCCUGCACCAGCCCAGAGUCGUGCUGGCCUCCUCUCUGCCUAGCAAGGUGAUGCCUGGUCCGCAGUCCAACACUCAGGCACAAACCAUCUGGAGAAAGAGCUGGAAAGUAGCCCAUCAGGUCUGCUGUUGCAUUUAAUUUAGCCAGUUUUUAUAUGAUGUGAAUUGCAUCCGAACCCCCGAUCACUCUCAAGACACUGACUUUGAGCUCGGCACUGCAGUGUAUUGUCAUUUAAAUACUGAUGAAAGAUAUAUGUUCAUUUGUGUUUAUGACUUAAAUUGCUCAUAUCAUUUAAUAGAAAAAAAAUAAAUUCAAUGAGAACAAAUUCA
rnacentral:lncRNA from 13 species